GGCCUGGUGGUGUAAUGGUAACACAUCUUCUCUCGUUAUCGGUUCAGAUGGGAAUUUUCUGAAGAAAUACCCUGUUCGAUUCGGGGCCAAGCCA